rnacentral:hammerhead_ribozyme from 1 species
GCAUUGCUGAGAAGUCCCAUAAUAGGACGAAACGGUCGUCCAGUGC